ACUUUUCAAGAUCCUAGGGGCUGCUAUAAAGUGCAACGGGAGGGGGGCAAACAGUAAUUUUGAGCUAAGCACAUAGAAGGGGAAUGAAGUUCUAAGGCUGAUAAUGGAGACCCAUCUAUUUUAGCUGAUGACCAUGCAUUUGCUGAAGCAUCUGGGGAUGACACUAGAACUUCUAAGGAGUAUUAUUGGCUGAAAAGAUACAUACAAUAUUGUUACCAAUUGCCAUCCGUGAAUGUCAGCUCUACAAUGUCAAUAUUACAAGAAAGUUAUGUCAAAAUUAGACAGGAUAUGAAGCGGCAGUCAAAUGAAACUGGGGAGGCAACAGUAAUACCAAUUACUCUGCUGCAACUAGAGGCCAUAGUGAGGUUGAGUAUGUAAUAAGAAUGAUUCAAAAAAUAAGAAUAACAAAUCUGCAAUGUGUCA